rnacentral:lncRNA from 1 species
AGGCCAGGCCAGAAGGACCAGGGACUACAAACUCACCUUCAGGGCUCCUAAGCUGCUGCGGAGCUAGACGGCGGGCUGUGGGUGGGGAGGAGACUAGAAUAUUCUGAGACGGGGUCAGGUGGGAGUUGGGAGAGGUAACUUGGAGUUGCUGCCCAAGAUGCAGCUCAGCUCCAGUGGCCACACCAAGACGGUUUAAGACAGAGCGGAACCAGGGAGGUUGUUUUUGGUGGCUGGGGGCUUGGGUUUGAGUUCCUUGAACAGCAGAAGGUGCUUGGAUUUAGGGAGGCUCUAAUUGCCUGGACGAAGAACCCCGAGCUGUCUGGCCGGCCUUUCACAGUAUCCGACCGGGGCGUCCUGGACCGCCGCCAGCUCUAUCUGACCACCUCGGCGCGGGACUUUCGGUUCUAUCCCAAGACGGAGCUGUCCGGAUACCCCCGCAAGGACUCCCUGACCUACUGGAGCUUCGAAGAGACGCCCCAGGUCUGGAGCCACGGCCCGCAGCGGCCGCCCUGUCCGCGCUCCUCCCGGCCGCCCCGACCACCGCGGGUCCGCGUGCCGCGCGUCAGCCCGGUGACCUCGGCCAUGCCGCACCGGGGAGCCCUGUCUCUGGCUCAGGAGUCCUACAGCCCCCUGCUGCACCCGCUCCGGCGGCUCGACCGCUUCUGCCCGCUGGAGGCGCCCUGGGGCGGCCCGCACUGGAAGCCCCUGCGGGGCAUCUACAGCGUGCCGAAAGCCUACAGUACCGAGAACUCCAGCUAUGGCAGCUUGAAGCCGGCGCUGGUGUGAGCCGUCAGGGCCAGCCCCACCCCAGACCCGCCCCCAGGGCCGCGCUGCCGAGCGGAGCUCGGGACCUCCGCUCACUAGGAAGGGUUCCGGACCCAGCCUGAGUCGCACUCAUUACGUCUAUUGGCAACGUGGGGGCGGGACUAGCCCAGACACCCACUCAGCUGCGGCAUCACGGAGAGGGGACUAAGUCCAGAUAAUGUCCUUGCAGGCUGUGGCCCCGGGGGCAAGACACGCACCCUGCGGGCGUAUUAAAUAAUGAGUUAAAUCACCUGAACCACACCCACUUCCGGGGACGCUCCGGGCAUCCUGGCUUGAGGGUAGGGUGGGCGGAGGUCCCUAAGGGAGAGGUGGGGCUCGGGCUUAAUCCCUCCUUGGGGGCAUCUGGGUCAAGUGGCUUCCCUGGCAGCACAGUCACGGGGAGACCCUCUCUCACUGGGCAGAAGCUAAGUCCGAAGCAGCGCCCCUCCUGUUAGGUUGGACUGUGGUGCAGGAAAGCCUCAAGUGGAGGGUUGAGGCUUCAGUCCAGCACCUUUCUCGGGUCAUGGCCUCCUCCUGGCUCCCAAGACCCCACAAUUGGCAGAGGCAGGCCUUCCUACACCCUACUCCCUGUGCCUCCAGGCUCGACUAGUCCCUAGCACUCGACAACUGGGUCUCUGAGGUCACUUCACCGUGGUCUCUGCCUCACCUCUGGCGCUAGACCACUGAGGGGAGAGGGCUGGGGCGCUCUGCUGAGCCACUCCUGCGCCUCCCUGGCCAUGUGCACCUCUCGCCCCCGGGGGGAUUAGUGUCCAGGUUACCCCAGCAUCCUAUCACCUCCUGGUGGCCUUGCCGCCCCCACAACCCCGAGGUAUAUAGCCAGAUACACGAGGCAGGGGAUGCACCAAGGAUGGAGAUGCUCCAGGCAGACCCGUGUGAGCUGUGGAAGGAGGCCUCUUUCUGGAGGGGCAUGACCCCCAGUAAGCUUCAGGUGGGGCAGUUCCUGAGGGUGGGGAUCUGAAAUGUUGGGGCAUCUCAGGUCCUCUGGGCUGUGGGGUGGGCUCUGAAAGGCAGGUGUCCGGGUGGUGGGUCCUGAAUAGGAGAUGCCGGGAAGGGUCUCUGGGUCUUUGUGGGUGGUGUACCACGCGGGAUGGGAAGGCCAGGACUCGGGGCUGCGGUCUCAGACCUGGGUGAAGCAGUGUCCUUGUCCCAGGGGCUGCUGCUGUUGCUGCUGCUGAGCAUGGGCGGGGCAUGGGCAUCCAGGGAGCCGCUUCGGCCAUGGUGCCACCCCAUCAAUGCCAUCCUGGCUGUCGAGAAGGAGGGCUGCCCAGUGUGCAUCACCGUCAACACCACCAUCUGUGCCGGCUACUGCCCCACCAUGAUGCGCGUGCUGCAGGCGGUCCUGCCGCCCCUGCCUCAGGUGGUGUGCACCUACCGUGAUGUGCGCUUCGAGUCCAUCCGGCUCCCUGGCUGCCCGCGUGGUGUGGACCCCGUGGUCUCCUUCCCUGUGGCUCUCAGCUGUCGCUGUGGACCCUGCCGCCGCAGCACCUCUGACUGUGGGGGUCCCAAAGACCACCCCUUGACCUGUGACCACCCCCAACUCUCAGGCCUCCUCUUCCUCUAAAGACCCUCCCCGCAGCCUUCCAAGUCCAUCCCGACUCCUGGAGCCCUGACACCCCGAUCCUCCCACAAUAAAGGCUUCUCAAUCCGCACUCUGGAGGUGUCUUUCUGUGGGCUCAGGGCAACCACACAUACACAGGGUGGGUGCAGCUUCCCAACCAUUUUAUACAGAGUCACAGUGUCAGAACUCUGG